rnacentral:lncRNA from 10 species
UAAAGAUCCUAUAUAGCCAAAGCCAUUUUGAGCAAGAAGAACAAAGCUCAAGGCAUCAUACUUCCUUAUUUCAAUAUAGAUUACAAAGCAACAGUAAUCAAAACAGUAUGAUACAGACAUAAAAACAGGCAAAUAUACCAGUGGAACAGAAUAAAAAGCCCAGAAAUAAACUAACCUACACAUAUACAGACACGAAUUCUGAGAAGAGUGCCAAGAACACAUACUGGAAAAAGAGUAGUCUCUUCAAUAAAUGGUGUUGGGAAAAUUGUAUCCGCAUGAAAAAAUAAAAUUAAAUUAAACCCUUAUUUUACAACCUUACAACAUAAACAAAAAUCAAUUCAAAAUGGAUUAAAGACUUAAACAUAAAACCUGAAACUAUAAAACUCCUAAGAGAAAACAUAGGGAAAACCUUCCUGACAUUGGUCUUGGCAAUGAUUUAUUGGACAUGACACCAAAAGCACAAGCAACAAAAGCAAAAAUAGACAAGUUACAUUAAACUAAAAAGCUUCUACGUAGCAAAGGAAAAAAAUCAACAAUAUAAAAAGGCAACUUAUAGAGUGAGAGAAAAUAUUUGCAAACCACAUAUCUGAUAAAGGGUUAAUACCAAAAUAUAUAAGAAACUCAUGCAACUCAAUAGCAAAAUAAUAUUAAUAAUAACCCAAUUUAAAAAAUGGACAAAACAAACUGAAUAGACAUUCCCCACAGAGGACAUACAAAUGGUUAACAGGUACAUGAAAAGGUGUUAAACAUCACUAGUCAUCAGGGAAAUGCAAUUGGAAACCACAAUGAGGUAUCCCCUCACACUUUGUAGAAUGGCUAUUAUCAAAAAACAAAAGAUAAUAAAUGUUUAUGAGGAUGUGGAGAAAAGGAAUCCUUGUACACUGUUGGUGGGAAUGUAAAUUAGCACAGCCAUUAUGGAAAGCAAUAUGGAGGUUUCUUUAAAAAAUUAAACAUAGAACUACUACAUGAUCCAGCAAUCCCACUUCUGGGUGUAUAUCAAAAGGAAUUGAAAUCAGAAGCUUAAAGAUAUAUCUUCAUUGCCAUGUUCAUUGCAGCAUUAUUCACAACAGCCAAGAUAUGGAAUCAACCAAUUGUUCAUUGACAGAAUAAUGGAUAAAGAAAAUAUAGUAUCCACAUACAAUAUUUAGCCUUAAAAAGAAGAAGAAAAUCCUGCCACUUGUGGCAACUUGGAUGAACCUGAAGGAUAUUAUGUUAAGUAAAAUAAGCCAGAUACAGAAGAACAAAUAUUACAUGAUGCCACUUACACGAAGAAUCUAAAAUAGUCAAACUCACAGAAGCAGAAAGUAAAAUGGUGGUUGUCAGGAGACAGAGGAAAGGGAAAAUAGGGAGAUAUUAGUCAAAAGGUACGAAGUUCCUGAUGUACAAAUUGAGUAAGUCCUAGAGAUCUACUGUACCAUAUACUGCCUAUAGUUAAUAUUAUAUUUUAUACUUAAAAGAUGCUGAGGGUGGAUCUUAUGUUGUGUUCUUAUCACACACAUGCAAAUACUAAUAAUAAAUAAAAAGGUGGGAGAAAUUUUACAGGUAAUGGAUAGGUUUAUGUCACAGAUUGUGGUGAUAGUUUCAUGGGAGCAUACUUAUCAAGUUGUACACUUUAAAUAUGUACCACUUUUUACAUGUCAAUCAUACCUCAAUAAAGCUGUUUAAGAAAUAUUGUGUAAGGAAAUAUAUCAAUGUUUGGGAGAUCUGUGUAACUUAGUGAACCAAUAUUUACCAAACAACUAAUUAAUGCAUAAUGUAACAAGUAUUAAAAUUUAUUUCACAUGGUUUCAGAAUUUACAUUGGGAAACAUCUUUAAGAAAUUACUAUUUGUCAGUAUUGGUGUGGAAGCAAAAAAAAGAAUAUACAUAAUUAUGUAAAAAGGCUAUAAAAAUAUUUCUUCUUUUUCCAACUAUGUAUCUGCGUGAAGCCAGAUUUUCUUCAAAUAUGUCAAUUAAGACUACGUAUCACAACAGAUUGAAUGCUGAAGUGGACAGAAAAACCCACUGUCUUUCUUUAAAUCAGAAAACUACCUUGGACUACGAGGGUGUGGGGUGAGCCAGCCAUUACCCCCACCCUGAAGCCUGUCCCCCUUUUCUUCUCCAUGGACUACAAGGGGUCUUGAGGGCAUGCAGGUGAACACCCAGAUCACAAGUCCAAGCAGAUACCCACCUGCUGCAAACAGCUACCUAUUGGCCACCUUUUGGGCCUAGGGGUAUGCAUAUCUACAGCGACAUCCACUUUCAGAAGGACAGACACUUUGAAGAAACCUAUGUAGGCCCUGGAGGCAGGAUUUGGACCAUUUGGGCAAGAAAUCCAGGGUUCCAGAUAUUAAUGAGAAAGAGUUCGUCCUUCCCGUAACGUUUUCUCUGUGAGUCCUGCCUGUCAAUGGAGUCUUAGUAAAAAAAGGAAAAAGAAGAUCUGAUAGGGUUAAGUGACUUCUCCAGGGCUCCACAGUGGCAAGUGGCAAAGGCGGGGUUAGGAGACCAGACUUCUGACUUUACGGGGCUAUGCCUGUGUUUCAUGCUGCUUCCCCCUAGUCUGAUAUUGUAAAGGAGUCACCAAAUCUAUGUCUCCAGCUGAGAUGAGAAGAAAUUGGAUUUCCUGAGAAUCAUGAUAGCUGCCUCUUACUAAACCCUGGCUAUGCUCAGGCACCAUUCCAAGAACUUUAAGUAUAUGAUCUCUAACAAUAACAACCUGGCAAUGUAAGUAUUGUUAUUCUCUUCUUACAUAUGUGACAAUGACAAUUCAGAGUUGUUAGGUAACUAUUCCAAUUAUAAACUUCAAUAAAUGUCAAUAUGUGUGUGUGUGUACACAUAUAUGUAUACACAUACAUAUAUACACAUAUAUGCACACACAUACAUAUAUACAUAUAUGCACACACAUACAUAUAUACAUAUAUGCACACACAUACAUAUAUACACAUAUAUGUGCACACACAUACAUAUAUACACAUAUAUGUGUACACACAUACAUAUAUACACAUAUAUGUGUACACACAUGCAUAUAUACACACAUAUAUGUGUACACACAUGCAUAUAUACACACAUAUAUGUGUACACACAUGCAUAUAUACACACAUAUAUGUGUACACACAUGCAUAUAUACACACAUAUAUGUGUACACACAUGCACAUAUAUACACAUAUAUGUGUACACACAUGCCCAUAUAUACACAUAUAUGUGUACACACAUGCAUAUAUAUACACAUAUAUGUGUACACACAUGCAUAUAUAUACACAUAUAUGUGUGCACACAUGCAUAUAUAUACACAUAUAUGUGUGCACACAUACAUAUAUUUAUAUAUUCCUGCCUAUGUUCAUGUAAAAUUGUGACAAGAUUCCACCAAAUUGCCCUUCAAAAAGGAUUGCACAAAAUCGAUUGUGACUUUUCCCCACACCCUGGUAAUAUUGUUUAUUAUAUACUUUAUUUUUUUUCCAAUUUGAUGGGUAAAAAUGACAUCCCAUCAAGGGUUCUUUAGUUUAUAUUUCAUGAAUCAUGAGGUUUAGUAACUUUUUAAUACAUAUGCUGGACACUUAGAGUCUUUUCUUUUUAACUAAUAUAUGCUUUCCUUUGGGGUUCUUUUUCUUUGGCUAUUUGUUGAAGACAACUUGACUCUAUCAAGUAUUUGGCAAAUAUUUUUGUGAAUUUAAAACAAACUGAAAACAAUCUAGGUUUCUAUCAAUGGAAAAUGAAUUUAUAAUUUAUGGUGUAUCCAUACAAUGAGAUACUGCUAUGGUUGAAUGUGUCCCCCAAAGGUCAUGUGUUGGAAACUUAAUCUCCAAGACAACAGCCUUGAGAGGCAGGAUUUUUAAGACAUGACUAGGGAUGAGGGCUCUGCCCUCAUAGGUAGGUUAAUGUCACUGUGGUGGAAGUGGGUGAGUUAUCACAGGAGUGGAUUUCUGAUAAAAGAAUGAGUUCAGCCUCUUUCCCCUCUUUCUUGUGUGCACUCCCUUACUCCUCUGCCACCCACCACGGGAUGACAAAGCAAGAAAACUCUUUCUGGAUGUGGGCUCCUUAACCUUUGACUUUCCAGUUUCAAGCACUGUAAGAAAUAAAUAUAUGUUCUUUAUAAGUUACCCAGUCUGUGAUAUUCUAGUUCACAACUGUUACAGAAGUUAUUGAAAAAGGCAAUGGACUGAUUUGGAAAGAUGCUCAAAAUAUAUUGUUAAGUGAACUAGAAAAUGGCAGGAUUAUAUAUAUAGUAGACUCCCCACUAAAGCACUUAUGCAUAUACUUAUAUACACUUGUGAAUUUAUGGACAAUAGUAAGAUGUGGGUGUGGAUGUUUCUAGUAGAUAGAAAUGGCCUUGAGGGCAAGGUUAACUUUUACUUUUUAUUUUUUGCUUUUUACUUUUAUUUUUGUAUAGUAGCAUGUAUUACUUUUAUAAUAAAAAUAAUUAAUAGUAACUUUGUAACAUUGGCUUUGAAAAGUAAUUUGCUUUUUAGGAGACACAGUAACAGGUGAGUCAGGUUCUGUCUUCUAUACCAUGCUGCCUCUGGGCAGAAACAAGGCUUUUCUGCAGCACAUUGAUGUUCCCAAGGCAGGCUUUAAUGGCCCCCCUGCUUUCCAUCAAACAAAGGGAAACCUCUGUGAGAGGUGGCAGAGAGCCAUGGAAGGAAGGGCAGGAGGCUGAGAAAGUAUCUGAGGAUGAAGCAUCACCAACCAUGAGGCUGCACAUUGCUUUCUCUUACUAAUGAUGAUAAUAUCAGCUCUCAUUGUCUGACAAAACUGAGGCUUUUCAGAAGCUGCAUUUCCCACACUGAGGUCAAGAUACUUCUAUUGCCAAGGAAGGGUAAAUGGAUAGGAGGAGGCAAAUUCUCCAGGGAUGAGGAUAGUGCCGGAAGUGGAGAAGUAAGAUCUGAGAGGAGCUCCAUCAUGGCUGCCACAGAGACUCGGAGAAGUGAGAAGAGCUAGGCAGCUUCCUCUUUAUCCAAAGGAUGCCCUUCUACUAGAAUUGGUCCGAUGUUUUCCUCAUGGUGAGACUGGAGUUAUGGGUUUUGAAGAGGAAGAUUACAGAGAAUUUCCACUGAUGCCAUUGCUUGAAGGGAGGCUUGUUAAGAGAUAUUACUAGCAGAAAGGAGAUACUCUAGCAAGACCUAUUCUUAUGUUUCCAUUUUGCAGGAGGCCGAGAAGAAGGAAGUGAUUCCAGAAAGGUAUCACCAUUCCUCAGUUACGAAACCCAAGUGAGACCACAAUAUCCUGACUUCCAGUCUAGAGCUAUCUGUAAUGCAAUAAAUCUCUUCACAGGAGCAUAUACACUGGGAACGGGAACUCUCACAGGAGAUUCUCUCCCUUGUUGAUUGGAAAAAGCCAGCUGCCAUGUUGUGAGUAUCCCAUUUAAAAGGGCUAUAUGGCAAGGAACCGAGGGCAGCCUUCAGCUGACAGCCAGCAAGAAACCAAGAUCCUCAGUCUGGUAGCUUGCAAGGCACUGAAUUCUGCCAACAACUGCGUGAGCUUGGAAGUGGAUCCUUCCUCAGUUAAGCCUUGGACAAGACCCAAGCCCUGUUGGACGCUUUAAUUACAGCCUUGCAGAGAACCCAGCUAAGGCAUGUUCAGACCUGAUCCACAGAAACUGUGAGAUAAUCCAUGUGUGUUGUUUUAAGCCUCUAAGUGUGUGGUAAUUUGUUACACAGCACUGGUUAGCUAACACAGAUACCUAGACAGCUGGUAAAGCAUUAUUUCUGGAUGUGUCUGUGAGGGUGUUUCUGGAGGAGAUUGGCAUGUGAGUCAGUGAACUCUGUGGGCAAGAGCUGCCCUCAAUGUAGGUGGGCACCAUCCAAUGUUGUUUUGUUGUAUCUAGGGGCCCAGAUAAAACAAAAAGGCAGAGGAAAGGUGAAUUCACUCUCUCUCUCCUGAAGCUGGGGUACUUUUAUCUCUUGCCCUUGGACAUCAGAACUCCAGGUUCUCUGGCCUUUGGACUCUGGGACUUGCACCAGCUCCCGGCUUCUCAGGACUUCAGCCUCAGAUUGAGAGUCACUCCAUUAACUUUCCUGGUUUAAAAGCCUUUAUACUUGGACUGAGAAACACCAACAGCUUCCCUGGGCUUCCAACUUGCAGAUGACCUAUCACAGGACUUCUCAGCCUCCAUAAUCGCAUGAGCCAAUUCUCCUAAUAAGUCCCCUUUCACAUAUCUAUUUAUCUACAUACGUAUAUCCUACUGGUUCUGUCUUUCUCAGGAACCCUGACCAAUAUAGUAUGUAUCUCUAAAAGAUAAGGACAUCAAAAAAUAUUACCGCGUCUAAAAAUAAAGUGAUUUCUUAACGUCAUGAAAUAUCCAAUUGCUCUCCAAAUUUUCACAAUUACAAAAGUCCACAUGUUGCAUUUAAUUUUAAUGCCUCUUAAUUCUCCCUUAAUUUUGAGAUUGCCUUUUAAGUAAGGCAGUUUAGCUCCCUAGUUUCACUCUAGCCCAUCCAAGGUGUUUCCAAAAACCUCACCUUCACACUAACCACAUCCAUUAUAAGCUGCUUCUUAAACGAUGAGAGCUCUCACUCUCUAAAAGGAAUUCUAAGCAUACCUCUUAAAGUAAUAACAUAUUAUAUCUCUACUAAGUUUAUAAUCAUAAAGAAUGUGGGUAUUUGCAUUCUCAUUUUACAGAUGGGAAAAUUAGUGUAGGUAACACAUAUAGAGAGGUGAUAAAUAGCAAUGGUUUCCAAGAAUGAUGACGAUUUCAGUGUGAAACAGAGAGUAGCAAUGGCAAGAGAUACAGCUAAGUAAAUGUGGAUGGUGAGGGACCCAUUCUGCCUUGUUAAAAGGUUUGAACCCACCCUAUAGACAAUAAAUCACUCAGUGAAUCACUGAGCAAUUUUAAUUAUGGAAGCAAUGUGAUCAGAUUUAUAUUUAAGGCAAGAGGAUUGGUGGCAAUGUAGAAGGCAAACACAAGUCAGAAAGAGUUAGAAGUAAGAAAAGUGAGUAGUCUGAAGAAAUUGGACACAUAAGAGAUGAGGGGGCUGGAAUGACUAACUAUGCAUCUUAUUCUGAAAUAUGUCUCUUAGGUAAUUGAUUAUUGAUACCCCACAUCCAAAUAGUGGGACAGUUAACUGAGAUGUCAGAGCCAGCCUUUUCAACACUUCUAGAGAGAAAUUUUGCAAAGACACAUCUCUUGUACCUCCAUGGACUUUUAAUACAGAUAUGUUUAUCAUAAGAUAACCUUCUAAAGAGCUCAUGAUAGCAUAUGAUCAAACUCCUUAUUGUACAGUCAGGAGGAAUCAGCCUUGUUGAAGGAAGGGGCUUACCCAAAGUUACAAGUUGGGACAAAAUUUUUGCUUCCAAUUCACUGCUGUUCUUACUAGAACUGUUUUCUCCAGUCUCAUAGAAGUUCUGAGAAACAAUUAGGCCCACACUAUCAUCAACAGGCAAAUAUGUGUGCCUGACCAGACAGACAGAGAGGUAUUUUGAGAGAGGCCAGGAAUGAAACUGGUGAAGAGGCCCAGAGUUUCAAUCCUGUUCUCACUCAAGAUUCAUCAUCAUCAUCAUCUUUACUAUAAGGAAGAGGGCAUUUAAAAGCACAAAUGAGAUUGUUAGUGAUAAAAAGGUACUUAUACACCAGCCAAUUCCAUCCUCCAUUUUGCUGAGGCUCAAAGAGGUACAGUGACUUAUCUUCGGUUAUGUAUGCAACUAUUGCAGAGCUGGAUAUUGGACUUAGGCCUCCUGAAGCCCAGCACUGUGCCUGCAGGAGCAUUCCCAACUCCUGUCUUUCUGCUCAAUACAUGGGGAAGAGACGAACAAUUUAGGCUACUCAAAAUGUGGUGGGCAUUUGGGCUCUGGGGAGAGCUUCAGCAUCUCUUCUCUCUUUUCAUGUUCUCCAACUCCUCAAGCAACAUACACACAUAGCAUAAAGAUCACUAGCCAGCUAUUUUCUGUCUUGAAAAAUUUUUAUGAUAAGAGUUUUCUAAUUAGGGAAAGCCACAGUUCAUACACAAAACACAAAUUACUAGGCUCUUUGUCUUUUUCAGAAGAAGUAUUAAUCCAUAAAUAAAUAUACUCUGUUGCCAAGUCACUACCAUGCUGUAUCACAUGGCCAAAGGAUGCCAAAAGGUAUGAGCUCUUGGUGAAUCCCAGCUAUUGACAGCCAGGUGCUGGACCUUAACCAGAGGCAUUGCUAUAGGUGGUUAAGUAUAUGGGCUCUGGUCAGUGGUGACAAAGUUCCUGGGUUCAAAUCCCAACACCCCCAGUUACUAGUUAUGUGACCUUGGACAAGUUGAUUAAAAUCUCUGUACUUCAACUCCUUUAUUUGUAAUAUGGAAAUGAUUUUUUAAAUUACCUAUCUUCUGGGUCUAUUGCAAAAUUAUCUUAUUUAAUAAUAAGAUAAUCCACUUAAGGCACUAUAUGUGAGUUUUUGCAUGUAGUGAGCACUUGAACCAAUAGAGUAUAUUUCCUUUUGAAUGUAAGAAAUUCACAGAGACAGCUUCUCUAUAGUAAAGGUAAGAAUCAAAACUGAGUUUCUAUAAAUUACUUUGUAUUGCUUAGAGAAAGAAGUCAUGGCAAUAGAUUGAAUAUAUUUUAAUUUAAAGUAGAAAAUUAUAUAGGAAAAAUAGAUAUAUCUUCCAGAGCUCAGUCUCAAAGGCCACAUUUUCUUUUGAGUAUUUUAACCUCCAAAACAUACUUAGUAUGUGGUGAAAUUGCCUACUUCUGGGUUGAGUAAUGUGAGCUAUCAUUACCAUGGUAACAACAAGGCCAAUAACUUGAACUCCAGUCAUAGUAGCUACAAUAAAGGGGACUCAGUUUGGAAAUAAUUAGAAUCCAUCCUUUUUGAGACUGAAAUUCAUUGCCUUUAAGACUCAAUCAACAUUCCUGGUGGUAGUCUGGAAUCAGCUCAAAUCAAGAUACAUCUAUCUUUAAAAAGAAUAUAGGACAAGAAAUCCAAAAUAGGAAAAAAAUCAAAUCAUCUUAUCUUUCUGGUGCAUUUACUAGUCUGAUGAGUCAUAAGAAAAUAAUAACCCAGAGGUUAGAAACAAAGACAUAAGCACAAUUCCUUUCAUUCCAUGGGUAAAAUUGAA